rnacentral:rRNA from 1 species
CCUACGGGUGGCAGCAGUGGGGAAUAUUGGACAAUGGGCGAAAGCCUGAUCCAGCCAUGCCGCGUGUGUGAAGAAGGCCUUCGGGUUGUAAAGCACUUUCAGUGGGGAAGAAAGCCUUGGGGCUAAUACCCUCGAGGAAGGACAUCACCCACAGAAGAAGCACCGGCUAACUCCGUGCCAGCAGCCGCGGUAAUAUGGAGGGUGCGAGCGUUAAUCGGAAUUACUGGGCGUAAAGCGCGCGUAGGCGGUCUGAUAAGCCGGUUGUGAAAGCCCCGGGCUCAACCUGGGAACGGCAUCCGGAACUGUCAGGCUAGAGUGCAGGAGAGGAAGGUAGAAUUCCCGGUGUAGCGGUGAAAUGCGUAGAGAUCGGGAGGAAUACCAGUGGCGAAGGCGGCCUUCUGGACUGACACUGACGCUGAGGUGCGAAAGCGUGGGUAGCAAACAGGAUUAGAUACCCGGUAGUC